GGUGAACGCUGGCGGCGUGCCUAAUACAUGCAAGUCGAGCGAACAGAUGAGGAGCUUGCUCCUCUGACGUUAGCGGCGGACGGGUGAGUAACACGUGUAUAACCUACCUAUAAGACUGGUAUAACUUCGGGAAACCGGAUCUAAUACCGGAUAAUCUAUUGAACCGUAUGGUUCAAUAGUGAAAGACGGUUUUGCUGUCACUUAUAGAUGGAUCUGCGCCGCAUUAGCUAGUUGGUAAGGUAACGGCUUACCAAGGCAACGAUGCGUAGCCGACCUGAGAGGGUGGUCGGCCACACUGGAACUGAGACACGGUCCAGACGCCUACGGGAGGCAGCAGUAGGGAAUCUUCCGCAAUGGGCGAAAGCCUGACGGAGCAACGCCGCGUGAGUGAUGAAGGUCUUCGGAUCGUAAAACUCUGUUAUUAGGGAAGAACAAAUGUGUAAGUAACUAUGCACGUCUUGACGGUACCUAAUCAGAAAGCCACGGCUAACUACGUG
rnacentral:rRNA from 1 species